rnacentral:rRNA from 1 species
AGGACGAACGCUGGCGGCGUGCCUAACACAUGCAAGUCGAACGAGGUCCAACCUGUAGCAAUACAGGUGAAGACCAAGUGGCGAACGGGUGAGUAGCACGUGAGCAACCUGCCCCGAAGACCGGGACAACACCGGGAAACCGGUGCUAAUACCGGAUAUCCCCACUGAGUCGCAUGGCUCGGUGAGGAAAUGGAUUCCGCUUCGGGAGGGGCUCGCGGCCUAUCAGCUUGUUGGUGAGGUAACGGCUCACCAAGGCUUCGACGGGUAGCUGGUCUGAGAGGACGAUCAGCCACACUGGGACUGAGACACGGCCCAGACUCCUACGGGAGGCAGCAGUGGGGAAUCUUGCACAAUGGGCGCAAGCCUGAUGCAGCAACGCCGCGUGAGGGACGAAGGGCUUUCUGAGUUGUAAACCUCUUUCAGCAGGGACGAUUGUGACGGUACCUGCAGAAGAAGCCCCGGCAACUACGCGCCAGCAGCCGCGGUAAU